rnacentral:misc_RNA from 1 species
GAUGAAGAACGCAGCGAAAUGCGAUAACUAAUGUGAAUUGCAGAAUUCCGUGAAUCAUCGAGUCUUUGAACGCACAUUGCGCCCCCUGGUAUUCCGGGGGGCAUGCCUGUCCGAGCGUCAUUACAACCCUCAAGCCCGGCUUGUGUAAUGGGCGGCCGUCUCUCCCCCCGGGGGGAGACGCCCCCGAAACUCAGUGGGGAUGUCGCGAUACCGAAGCCUCAGCUAAUGGGUAAACCACAGCUGCAAUGGCCGCGGCCGGCGUCCGCCUUCCACGGUCCGUCCGCCUAGCGCGGGCGGCCUUCUCAAGGUUGACCUCGGAUCAGGUAGGGAUACCCGCUGAACUUAAGCAUAUCAAUAAGCGGAGGA